rnacentral:rRNA from 1 species
GAUGAACGCUGGCGGCGUGCUUAACACAUGCAAGUCGAACGAAGCACCUUGAUUUGAUUCUUCGGAUGAAGAUCUUGGUGACUGAGUGGCGGACGGGUGAGUAACGCGUGGGUAACCUGCCUCAUACAGGGGGAUAACAGUUAGAAAUGACUGCUAAUACCGCAUAAGACCACAGCACCGCAUGGUGCAGGGGUAAAAACUCCGGUGGUAUGAGAUGGACCCGCGUCUGAUUAGGUAGUUGGUGGGGUAACGGCCUACCAAGCCGACGAUCAGUAGCCGACCUGAGAGGGUGACCGGCCACAUUGGGACUGAGACACGGCCCAAACUCCUACGGGAGGCAGCAGUGGGGAAUAUUGCACAGUGGGGGAAACCCUGAUGCAGCGACGCCGCGUGAGCGAUGAAGUAUUUCGGUAUGUAAAGCUCUAUCAGCAGGGAAGAAAAUGACGGUACCUGACUAAGAAGCACCGGCUAAAUACGUG